AUUGAACGCUGGCGGCAGGCUUAACACAUGCAAGUCGAGCGGGGAAGGGUAGCUUGCUACCUAACCUAGCGGCGGACGGGUGAGUAAUGCUUAGGAAUCUGCCAUUUAGUGGGGGACAACAUUCCGAAAGGAAUGCUAAUACAGCAUACGUCCUACGGGAGAAAGCAGGGGAUCUUCGGACCUUGCGCUUAAUGAUGAGCCUAAGUCGGAGUAGCUGGUUGGUGGGGUAAAGGCCUACCAAGGCGACGAUCUGUAGCGGGUCUGAGAGGAUGAUCCGCCACACUGGGACUGAGACACGGCCCAGACUCCUACGGGUGGCAGCAGUGGGGAAUAUUGGACAAUGGGCGGAAGCCUGAUCCAGCCAUGCCGCGUGUGUGAAGAAGGCCUUAUGGUUGUAAAGCACUUUAAGCGAGGAGGAGGCUACCAGUAUUAAUACUACUGGAUAGUGGACGUUACUCGCAGAAUAAGCACCGGCUAACUCUGUGCCAGCAGCCGCAGUAACAC
rnacentral:rRNA from 1 species